CUGAUACUCCCUCUGUACGAAAAAGCUUGUCCCUCAAAUGGAUGUUUCUAGCACCAAGUUAGUGUUAGAUACGUCCAUUUGAGGAACAAGUUUUUUUGGACGGAGGGAGUAUAUG
rnacentral:pre_miRNA from 1 species